UAGGGAAUCUUCGGCAAUGGNCGGAANUCUGACCGAGCAACGCCGCGUGAGUGAAGAAGGUUUUCGGAUCGUAAAGCUCUGUUGUUAAGGAAGAACGAGUGUNAGANUGGAAAAUUNCNACUGUGACGGUAUUUUACCAGAAAGGGACGGCUAACUACGUGCCAGCAGCCGCGGUAANACGUAGGUUNCGAGCGUUGUCCGGAUUUAUUGGGCGUAAAGCGAGCGCAGGCGGUUAGAAAAGUCUGAAGUUAAAGGCUGUGGGUUAACCAUUGUAGGCUUUGGAAACUGUUUAACUUGAGUGCAGAAGGGGAGAGUGGAAUUCCAUGUGUAGCGGUGAAAUGCGUAGAUAUAUGGAGGAACACCGGUGGCGAAAGCGGCUCUCUGGUCUGUAACUGNCGCUGAGGCUCGAAAGCGUGGGGAGCGAACAGGAUUAGAUACCCUGGUAGUCCACGCCGUAANCGAUGAGUGCUAGGUGUUAGNCCUUUCCGGGAUUUAGUGCCGCAGCUAACGCAUUAAGCACUCCGCCUGGGGAGUACGACCGCAAGGUUG
rnacentral:rRNA from 1 species